AUCGCUUCUCGGCCUUUUGGCAAAGAUAAGUGUAGUAUCUGUUCUUAUCAGCUUAAAUAUCUGAUAACCCCCAUGGGGGAUCUACGAUAUUAAACGAUUUUGGAAAGGGCAAGUGCUGGGGGCUUGCUCCACCUUUGCCCGGAUCGGCCCGGGUAUUGCAGUACCCCCGGGGAUUGGUCCACUCCCC